AACGAACGCUGGCGGCAUGCCUAACACAUGCAAGUCGAACGUGAUCCCUGGUUUCGGCUGGGGUGAAAGUGGCGGACGGGUGAGUAACGCGUGGGAACCUGCCCAGUGGUUGGGGAUAACUGCGGGAAACUGCGGCUAAUACCCGAUGAGUCCUGCGGGGGAAAGAUUGAUCGCCAUUGGAGGGGCCCGCGUCGGAUUAGGUAGUUGGUGGGGUAACGGCCUACCAAGCCAUCGAUCCGUAGCUGGUCUGAGCGGAUGAUCAGCCACACUGGGACUGAGAUACGGCCCAGACUCCUACGGGAGGCAGCAGUGGGGAAUAUUGGACAAUGGGGGCAACCCUGAUCCAGCAAUGCCGCGUGAGUGAAGAAGGCCUUAGGGUUGUAAAGCUCUUUCGGCGGGGACGAUGAUGACGGUACCUGCAGAAGAAGCCCCGGCUAACUCCGUGCCAGCCGCCGCAGUAAAAC
rnacentral:rRNA from 1 species